UACUUUAAGUCAAUUCCUUAAAAUCAGAUAAAUUAUUGUCGGAUCAUUAGCGCAACCAUUAAUCCCAAAAACUCGAGCUGUUAGAAUACACAAUCAAUUCACUUAAAAUGUGCAGACAUAGCGCUCACGGGUCUCGAUUGCGGCUCCGCCUAACCAGCUUCACGUCACUUCAAACAUAACUCGGCCCAAUCCAGUCUCCCACCAUUUCGAAAGUAACUCAGUCCAAAUUAACUAGCCUUCCGCCAUUACGUCAUAA
rnacentral:lncRNA from 1 species